AAUCCUUUUGAACUAUGCACCUGGUGCACGGACCCUUUUUUCCGCCGUCAAACUAGCAAAAGUGGAUUUGCACACGCCCCAAACACACCUGCACCAUGCGCUUCAUGCCGUGCGCUUCGAUUGUUAAAAUAGGGUCCAUAGUCUCUGC